UACGGGGGGGGCAAGCGUUGUUCGGAAUUACUGGGCGUAAAGGGCUCGUAGGUGGCCAACUAAGUCAGACGUGAAAUCCCUCGGCUUAACCGGGGAACUGCGUCUGAUACUGGAUGGCUUGAGUUCGGGAGAGGGAUGCGGAAUUCCAGGUGUAGCGGUGAAAUGCGCAGAUAUCGGGAGGAACACCAAUGGCGAAAGCAGCUCUCUGGGACGGUACUGACGCUGAGACGCGAAAGCGUGGGGAGCGAACAGG
rnacentral:rRNA from 1 species